AACCUAAUAGUUUGAUUUUUUGCUCAGGAUGAACGCUGGCGGCGUGCCUAAUACAUGCAAGUCGAACGAACUUCCGUUAAUUGAUUAUGACGUACUUGUACUGAUUGAGAUUUUAACACGAAGUGAGUGGCGAACGGGUGAGUAACACGUGGGUAACCUGCCCAGAAGUAGGGGAUAACACCUGGAAACAGAUGCUAAUACCGUAUAACAGAGAAAACCGCAUGGUUUUCUUUUAAAAGAUGGCUCUGCUAUCACUUCUGGAUGGACCCGCGGCGUAUUAGCUAGUUGGUGAGGUAAAGGCUCACCAAGGCAGUGAUACGUAGCCGACCUGAGAGGGUAAUCGGCCACAUUGGGACUGAGACACGGCCCAGACUCCUACGGGAGGCAGCAGUAGGGAAUCUUCCACAAUGGACGCAAGUCUGAUGGAGCAACGCCGCGUGAGUGAAGAAGGGUUUCGGCUCGUAAAGCUCUGUUGUUAAAGAAGAACGUGGGUAAGAGUAACUGUUUACCCAGUGACGGUAUUUAACCAGAAAGCCACGGCUAACUACGUGCCAGCAGCCGCGGUAAUACGUAGGUGGCAAGCGUUAUCCGGAUUUAUUGGGCGUAAAGCGAGCGCAGGCGGUCUUUUAAGUCUAAUGUGAAAGCCUUCGGCUCAACCGAAGAAGUGCAUUGGAAACUGGGAGACUUGAGUGCAGAAGAGGACAGUGGAACUCCAUGUGUAGCGGUGAAAUGCGUAGAUAUAUGGAAGAACACCAGUGGCGAAGGCGGCUGUCUGGUCUGCAACUGACGCUGAGGCUCGAAAGCAUGGGUAGCGAACAGGAUUAGAUACCCUGGUAGUCCAUGCCGUAAACGAUGAUUACUAAGUGUUGGAGGGUUUCCGCCCUUCAGUGCUGCAGCUAACGCAUUAAGUAAUCCGCCUGG
rnacentral:rRNA from 1 species